ACCAACAGGGAUUGCCCCAGUAACGGCGAGUGAAGCGGCAACAGCUCAAAUUUGAAAUCUGGCGCCCCGGCGCCCGAGUUGUAAUUUGCAGAGGAUGCUUUUGGCGCGGCGCCUUCCGAGUUCCCUGGAACGGGACGCCAUAGAGGGUGAGAGCCCCGUCUGGUCGGACGCCCAGCCUCUGUAAAGCUCCUUCGACGAGUCGAGUAGUUUGGGAAUGCUGCUCUAAACGGGAGGUAUAUGUCUUCUAAAGCUAAAUACCGGCCAGAGACCGAUAGCGCACAAGUAGAGUGAUCGAAAGAUGAAAAGCACUUUGAAAAGAGGGUUAAACAGUACGUGAAAUUGUUGAAAGGGAAGCGCUUGUGACCAGACUCGGGCGCGGCGAAUCAUCCGGCGUUCUCGCCGGUGCACUUCGCCGCGGCCGGGCCAGCAUCAGCUCGCCGCGGGGGACAAAGGCGCCGGGAACGUGGCUCCCCAGGGAGUGUUAUAGCCCGGCGCGCAAUGCCCCGGGGCGGGCUGAGGUUCGCGCGUCCGCAAGGAUGCUGGCGUAAUGGUCACCAGUGACCCGUCUUGAAACACGGACCAAGGAGUCGUCCUCGUGUGCGAGUGUUCGGGUGUCAAACCCCUACGCGCAAUGAAAGUGAACGCAGGUGAGAGCCCUCGGGCGCAUCAUCGACCGAUCCUGAUGUUCUCGGAUGGAUUUGAGUAAGAGCACACGGGGCCGGACCCGAAAGAAGGUGAACUAUGCCUGUGUAGGGUGAAGCCAGAGGAAACUCUGGUGGAGGCUCGCAGCGGUUCUGACGUGCAAAUCGAUCGUCAAACAUGGGCAUGGGGGCGAAAGACUAAUCG
rnacentral:rRNA from 1 species